rnacentral:tRNA from 1 species
GGAGAGGAUGGCGACCUGGUGGCGUCUGCGGACUUCAAAUCCGAUAGGAGGGCGGUUGACCGUUUUCCGGGGGGUUCGAUUCCCUCCCUCUCUC